GCAUGUAUCCACCAAUAGGCACAACUCUUAUGCAAAUUAAAAAUGAGGAAUGUAAUUUGAGAAAGGAAACCAAGUUUGGUGGAUGAAUUAUGACCAUUAGACCAGAGCGUGAUUAACAGCCUCCCUGGCCUUCGGGUCAUGGUGCCGUAGAUGAUCGUUCUCAGCUCCAACCAUGGGUGCUGAGAUGGUCUAAUAGCUGUUUGACAGACU